rnacentral:rRNA from 1 species
AGAGUUUGAUCCUGGCUCAGGAUAAGCGCUGACGGUGUGCUUAAUACAUGCAAGUCGAACGAGCAAUAGGAGAGUGGUAACACUUUCUUAAAGCUAGUGGCGAACGGGUGCGUAACGCGUGGGUAAUCUGCCUUGAAGAUUGGGAUAACUCCUUGAAAAAGGAGCUAAUACCGGAUGUGCUGUAAUUCUCGCAUGUUUUUUUACAGCAAAAGUAGCCGCAAGGCUUCUGCUUCAAGAUGAGCCCGCGUCCUAUUAGCUUGUUGGUAGGGUAACGGCCUACCAAGGCUAUGAUGGGUAGCCGGUCUGAGAGGAUGGUCGGUCACACUGGGACUAGAUACGGCCCAGACUCCUACGGGAGGCAGCAGUAGGGAAUCUUGCGCAAUGGGCGAAAGCCUGACGCAGCGGCACCGUGUGAAGGAUGAAGGUCUUCGGAUCGUAAACUUCUGUCAAUUGGGGACGAAGGUACUAAGGUUAAUAGCCUUUAGUAUUGACGGUACCCAAAAAGGAAGUCUCGGCUUACUCCGUGCCAGCAGCCGCGGUAAGACGGGGGAGGCUAGCGUUGUCCGGAAUUAUUGGGCGUAAAGAGCGCGUAGGUGGCUUAUCAAGUCAUUUGUGAAAACUUUAGGCUUAACUUAAAGAUUGCAAGUGAUACUGGUGGGCUUGAGCACAGUAGAGGAAAGUGGAAUUCCUGGUGUAGCGGUGAAAUGCGCAGAUAUCAGGAAGAACACCAGUGGCGAAGGCGGCUUUCUGGGCUGUUGCUGACACUGAGGCGCAAAGCUAGGGGAGCGAACAGGAUUAGAUACCCUGGUAGUCCUAGCUGUAAACGAUGGACACUAGGUGUGGGAAGUUAUCGACGCUUUCCGUGCCGAAGCUAACGCAUUAAGCGUCCCGCCUGGGGAGUACGGCCGCAAGGCUAAAACUCAAAGGAAUUGACGGGGGCCCGCACAAGCGGCGGAGCAUGUGGCUUAAUUCGACUCAACGCGAAGAACCUUACCAAGGUUUGACAUCAUUCUGAAGUAUAUAGAAAUAUAUACGCCCGCAAGGGUAGUAUGACAGGUGGUGCAUGGUUGUCGUCAGCUCGUGUCGUGAGAUGUUGGGUUAAGUCCCGCAACGAGCGCAACCCUCUUCCUAUGUUGCCAUCAGUUCGGUGGGCACUCUUAGGAUACUGCCAAUGUAAAAUUGGAGGAAGGUGGGGAUGACGUCAAAUCAUCAUGCCCUUUAUGCCUUGGGCUGCACACGUGCUACAAUGGUCUGUACAAAGAGCUGCGAUACCGUGAGGUGGAGCGAAUCUCAAAAAACAGAUCUAAGUCCAGAUUGAAGGCUGCAACUCGCCUUCAUGAAGUCGGAGUCGCUAGUAAUCGUGGAUCAGCACGCCACGGUGAAUACGUUCCCGGGCCUUGUACACACCGCCCGUCACACCACGAAAGUUGGAUACACCCGAAGCCAGUGAGCUAACCAGCAAUGGGAGCAGCUGUCGAAGGUGGAGCUGAUGAUUGGGGUGAAGUCGUAACGAGGUA